UUUUCCUGGGCCAUUAGCUCAGGUGGUUAGAGCGCACCCCUGAUAAGGGUGAGGUCCCUGGUUCAAGUCCAGGAUGGCCCAUAUCUCUAUGUUGGGGGUAUAGCUCAGUUGGUAGAGCGCCUGCUUUGCAAGCAGGAUGUCAGCGGUUCGAGUCCGCUUACCUCCACUGAAUACCACCUCUUACAUAUAUUUAAGGAGGGAAAUUGUUUUGAGUCGUGUCCUAAUUUGCUCUGAGCGAAUCUAGCUUCCUAUUUUAUUCUAUAAAUAAGAUGCUGGACUCAUUGAAUUUUUUUUCAUUGUUUUCAGAGAACCUUGACAACUGCAUAGAUUAUUUUUGAAGACAAUAAGCAUCUUUAAUGAUGCAGAUUUAUUAUUUGUGCGAAUGCAUUAAAUAACAAUUCUAUUAAGCUGAUGCUUCAAUUAUUGAAGUUAUUGGUCAAGCUACAAAGGGCUCACGGAGGAUACCUAGGCACACAGAGGCGAUGAA
rnacentral:tRNA from 1 species